AUUUUUCUCUCGGGUUUAAUUCUCCCGAAACCCCAAACCCUCAGGCCUCAGUUUCUCUUUCCUCUCGUUCUGUUUCUCCUAUCUCCUCCUCUUGCCUUUGCUGCUGCUCCGCUACUAGCCCUGCCUUGGCCGGCGCUUCCCAGCUCGCCGGAGAUUCGUCGUCUCCCACCGCAAGCUAGCGGUGUUGCUCCCUGCCUUUUUCUCUCUCCUCUGCUGUGUUGCAUGCUGCUGCUGUUGCUCUGUGGCGGCGUUGCUGGUGCUGCCACCGUGCAUGGGUACUCUGUAUUUCUAUCUCCCCUUGUUUGUGAUUGUGUGUUGUUGUUGGUGUCGUUGUUGCUUCGUGGAGCCCAGAAUCUCCGAUUGUGGUGGCGAAUCGCUCGAGUUUGCCCGUCGUGAGGAGAUGAGUCUGUUGGGAAAGAUGUUCCUAAUCGUGAAGGUAAUACAGGAGAUGAGUCUGUUAGUGAUUAUAUGGCUGAUUUUGUAAUAAGGCGUCCAACUAGGAGUAAGAAGAAUACUCUUGCAGGAAGGGAUAAAGGUCCAUUGAGGACAUGUAACAGUCAAUCUAUUAGUGAAGCUGAAGAGGAGUACAAUCCUCAUAAAAGACGUCGGGAUUCUGAAAGUACUCUUUCGAAGCCAGCUGGGAAAAAGGAGACUAAUCGUGAAGGUAAUACAAGAGAUGAGUUUGUUGGGAAAGAUGUUCCUAUGAUCCUUGAGGAGGAUAUAGCUGAUCUUGUAAUAAGGCGUCCAACUAGGAGUAAGAAAAAUACUCUCGCAG